rnacentral:misc_RNA from 1 species
UCUCCGUAGGUGAACCUGCGGAGGGAUCAUUACUGAGUGAGGGUUUAACCGCCCGACCUCCAACCCUUUGUGAAUCGUACUCGUUGCUUCGGGGGCGACCCUGCCUUUCGGGCAGUGCGCCCCCGGAGGAUAUCAAAACGCUGCAUCUUUGCGUCGGAGUAUCAAUCAAAUUGAACAAAACUUUCAACAACGGAUCUCUUGGUUCUGGCAUCGAUGAAGAACGCAGC